rnacentral:rRNA from 1 species
CCCCGGCGCCACGAGUGGUUAUCACGAUUAUUGGGCCUAAAGCGUUCGUAGCCGGUCUGGUAAAUCUCUUGUGAAAUUGUUCGGCUUAACCGGACAGCGUGCAGGAGACACUGCCAGACUCGAGACCGGGAGGGGUUAGAAGUAUUCCAUGGGGACUGGUAAAAUGGGAUAAUCCAUGGAAGACUACCGAUGGCGAAGGCAUCUAACCAGAACGGAUCUGACGGUGAGGAACGAAAGCCAGGGGAGCGAACCGG